UCUUGCAGGCCAGUCACGUUGCAUGUAGUGCUGCUUGUCUGCUCGACUAUCCCACAGACAGAGGAAACAUGCCAUGUACAACCAGAUGAAAAAGGAAAUUUAAUUGUGAGAAAAUAUAUGUAAAAAAACACAAGUUAGGUGUUAUAUUUUCAGUGUGGUAUUUUUAAAAAAUUUUUUAACUGAGAAUUUUAUUACCUACUGCAUUCCAAUUUCUUAGGGUAGACUGAUAUGCAUUGUUAGUAAAGAUGUUAUAUGUAUUUGAGAACUAAUUCCGGUGUAUUUUCAGCCAUAGUAUUGAUUGAGUUGAGGACUCUGUGGUGAUAUGGACAUCUAUAACAAGGCAAUCUCUGAAAAUGGAAUGUUGGAAAUACCACCACCAAUUGUGAAGUGUUAAUACAAGUGAGGUAUCAUAUCUGAAGUUCAUGGUGAAAUUGCUGGGGGGAAGGGGUCGCCGGAUAAUCCGAAAGAACUAUAACAACAAGAGAUAUAGAAGACCGAAAGCAGCAUCACUGAUGAGGGCCGAGUUAGCUGGUGAUUUUUACGAUCCCUUCCGCAGUCACCCAGUAGAUGAAGAACAUCUAGUCAGUGCUUCUGCAAGCUCAUCUUCAAGUACCUGCAUGUGAUGCAUCAGGGGGAAAUGACCAGAUUGUUUUAAAUUUAUUUGUGCAAAACAGAAGACAUCAAAAAAUAAUAAACCUUCCCUUUAGAAGUAACAUAAAAAUUAUACUGUACUGUAUCUGUAUAAUAAAGUAUGAAAGUGGUAGAAUGGGAUAAGUUUAGAAUAAUAUUAACAAAGUGCGACUCUUAUGCAUUUAUGAUGUAGUUAUAAAGAAUUUGUAUUGUGAUAUAAAUGUAACCCAAAAUGUA